CCUACGGGGCGCGGCAGUGGGGAAUAUUGCACAAUGGGGGAAACCCUGAUGCAGCGACGCCGCGUGAGUGAAGAAGGGUUUCGGCGCGUAAAGCUCUGUUAGCGGGGAAGAAACACGGUUCGCGAGAGUCGCGGACGGUACCCGAUCAAGAAGCCCCGGCUAACUACGCGCCAGCAGCCGCGGUAAUACGUAGGGGGCAAGCGUUAUCCGGAUUCACGGGGUGGAAAGGGAGCGUAGACGGCGAGACAAGUCUGGAGUGAAAGGUCGGGGCCCAACCCCGGGAGUGCUCUGGAAACUGCCUGGCUGGAGUACAGGAGAGGUGAGUGGAAUUCCUGGGGUAGCGGUGAAAUGCGUAGAUAUUAGGAGGAACACCAGUGGCGAAGGCGGCUUACUGGACUGUAACUGACGUUGAGGCUCGAAAGCGUGGGGAGCAAACAGGAUUAGAUACCCGUGUAGUC
rnacentral:rRNA from 1 species